CGGUAGAUCACAUCUGCAACAGAACCAUUACAGAUUCUUUGUUGUAUUAAUGUCUCUGUGUUUGUUUACAGGAGGUCCUUGCUUUGCAGGUAUGUACAUAAUAUGUAGAGUUUAAGAAAAGCUGCAAAUCGUGCUUUAGUACAAGUGUCCCAUGAUAUCAGGUUUCUGAAAGAUUUUGCUGGUCUUUUUAUAUUCCAUUCUCUUGGCAGGGCAUCUGCUCUUAGUAAGCCGGUCUUGUUAUUAUUUAUUAAUUGCAUCAAGGUUUCUUUCGUUAAUUAAUGUGUUUCUACCGAAUUCAAAUUCAUAUGCCACCAAAUGUCAUUGUAAAGUUCAUUGUUCCAGAAUAUUGUUCCAGGAUGGUUUUUCACUCCAGUAGGAAAUCUAUUUUCCUCUUCUUCUGCUCCUUCCUAUUAACCACUUUUUCUGAGUUGUAGGCAACAAUCUGUGUCUUGUACUGUGAGGUGCUUUGACAGUCAAUCAGGUUUUCUCAG